rnacentral:tRNA from 1 species
GGGGGCACAGCUCAGUGGUGGAGCACGUGCCUAGCAUGCACGAGGGUCCUGGGUUCAAUCCCCAGUCCCUCCU